rnacentral:rRNA from 1 species
ACACCGGCAGCUCAAGUGGUAGCCGCUUUUAUUGGGCCUAAAGCGUCCGUAGCCGGUCUGAUAAGUCUCUGGUGAAAUCCCACAGCUUAACUGUGGGAAUUGCUGGAGAUACUAUCAUGACUCGAGGUCGGGAGAGGCUGGAGGUACUCCCAGGGUAGGGGUGAAAUCCUGUAAUCCUGGGAGGACCACCUGUGGCGAAGGCGUCCAGCUGGAACGAACCUGACGGUGAGGGACGAAAGCCAGGGGCGCGAACCGGAUUAGAUACCCGGGUAGUCCUGGCCGUAAACGGUGUGGACUUGGUGUUGGGAUGGCUUCGAGCUGCCCCAGUGCCGAAGGGAAGCUGUUAAGUCCACCGCCUGGGAAGUACGGCCGCAAGGCUGAAACUUAAAGGAAUUGGCGGGG